CAUUCUGGGCUGUCAAAACACAAGGCGCCGUGCUCAGUCUCAAUAACUCCAGUGAUGAUUAAUGAGCGGCUUGAUCAUUUAAUAUCUCAUGUGAUUAAAUUAUAAGGCGUGGGGGAAGGGAGCUCCGCACACUCCCGGCCGCGGUGGGGGACACGGACCAGCCAGCGGGUACCGGCAGCGCUCGAGCCUUACACUCCAGCUUCGAAGGUUGCCUGGAGAGGCUCCGCCACCGUGGGUCCGCGCCUUCCCAACGGGUAGGACCACCCGAAGCCACUCUUCCAGAGGCCGCAGUUCCUGGCCCAAUCUUGGGCUGACCUGUGUUCACGCCAGCCCAGGGUUCAACCUGGAAGAUCACUUCAGUUUGAUGAUGUCGGAGAUCUGCAGAAUAGCAUCCAAAUCGGUGAUGCAAUCGGCCGCAUUGUGCGCUAGACUUGUGGAAGAAAGCACAGCAGAAUGAGUUUUCUGGACGAUCGAAGCUCUGUAGACAAUUGGAAUGACCAGAAGACUGACAAGACUUCCUCAGUUGAUCCUACUGACCAGGGUGGGGAGU
rnacentral:lncRNA from 1 species